AUGGACUCAUCUCAUUUAGGAAUUCUCGCAUUUGGGGAUUGUCUGGUUUGUCUAGUGGGAUAUCUACACUGCCACCGGCCUCCAUCUAGUCUAGUACUGUCAUUCCUCUGGAUUUCUGAUUUUCCUCGUGUACACGUGCCAGUAGUUGGGAGCUGUGGCUUUGCGGCUGUCACGUCUCCACUCUCUGCCCUUCGUUUUCUUUUUCCGGUGCUGGCACAUGACGACCUUUCAGGCGGUCACCUGUGCAGCCCUUUUUAACCUGGACAAGAACUGUGGUGCGAAUUGUGUACAGUAACUUCCCUCUGCUCACAUGGAGCACGUCGGUGCCGAAUUCUUUAACUCUCUCCUCAGGCGUAACCAGGCUAGGCGUUGGUCGGGAAUGGCUUGAACGGCCUCAGCUCAAGGUGGAAAAUCGGAAGGAAUCGGUGAUUCUGGAAAUCAAGAGUAAUUUUGGAAGAACCAUGCCAAUAUCCGGAGAACACUGGCCCUAUUCAUCAGGGGUUGACUUUGAGGGUUCCAGUGUGCGAUGGGACCCCUGGGGUACAACCUGAAACUGGGGUGUGCCGUGCCCCCUUAACUCUCCAGCCUGGACAGUGCAAUACCAGUGACAUGCAGCAAACCCCUGCAGGAGCUGUGAUCACUCAGCCGUCAGCAGGUGGAGCUCCACACCCAGCUGAGUUGCAUGAAUGCUUCCUGAGCCACUCACACAGAGAAAGGCACCAGCCAAAUCCCCCAGCUCCCAGCCUUGCACCCCAGAAAUAUACCAUCUUGCACUGCUCAGGACUCCUUGGACAGUGCAAGCUCGUUAAUUAGUUUGCCACUCCGACAAAGGGUAGUGGUCAUGCAACGGCCUGUGUUAACCUGAGCUGGGAGUCUCUCAACACUUCAACCCAAACCACCUUGUUUUAGAUCAAACAUAAACCAGAUUUAUUAACUACAGAAAGACAGAUUGUAAGUGAUUAUAAGUGUUAGAAUCGCACUCUGAAUUCGAUUUCUGACCUCUGUGCCUAUUUUUAAUUUUAACAGACUAAGCAAGAGUUGAAUCAAACAACUUUUCUCACCCCACUGGAUGUUCCAGGCAGCUCACAGUUCUCAGUUCACCGGCUGGAUUCCCCUCUCAGCCUGGGACCAAUCUCCCCAGUUCAGAGUCUUUGUCUUCCAGCCUGUCUUCCAGGUGUUGAGAUGGGGGAGGUGAGAAGCCAAAUGGUGACGUCAUCGACCCUCAUUUAUACUUUCUCUCCGGGUGCUAGAAAGAUCC
rnacentral:lncRNA from 1 species